GUAACGGCGAGUGAAGCGGGAAGAGCUCACGUUGUGAAUCUGGCCCUCGGGUCCGAACUGUACUUUGGAGAGGCGUGGCCAGCCGCUGUCCGCGGCCAAGUCUGAUUGGAAAUGAGCAUCAAGGAGGGUGACAAUCCCGUCCAUGCCGCGGUAUCGAUCAGCGCGCGUCCGGCCCGCUUUCGACGAGUCGAGUUGCUUGGGAUUGCAGCUCAAAGAGGGUGGUAAACUCCAUCCAAAGCUAAACACGGGGGGGAGACCGAUAGCGAACAAGUACCGUGAGGGAAAGAUGCAAAGAACUUUGAAAAGAGAGUUAAAGAGUGCCUGAAAUUGCUGGAAGGGAAGCGAAGGAAAGAAGUGUGCGGUUGCCCGGGCGCCAACCCCUACCUGGUUCCCAGGUGGGGGUAGGCCGCCCGGCCGCGGUCAGGGGUCGCGCCGGGCUCGGGGGAAGAGCCGUCGGGGAUCGGUAGGCGCGCCGCUUCGGCGGAGCGUUGUCAGGCCCCGGUGGAUUGUUGCCCUGAGCCCGGCCCCCGGUUUCUGGCGGUCGCGGCUUUUCUUCACCCCGUCUUGAAACACGGACCAAGGAGUCUAGCGUGGACGCGAGUAGAGGGGUGUCCAAACCCCCUUGCGCAAUGAAGGUGAACGCCGGUGGGAGGCCGCCUUUCGAUCGGCUGAGUCCUCGGACUCGGCCGAUCGAAGGGAGGCCAGCACCAUCGACCGAGCGUGCUCCUCCGGGGGCAAGGCUUGAGUGUGAGCGUGCAUGCUGGGACCCGAAAGAUGGUGAACUAUGCCUGAAUAGGGCGAAGCCAGGGGAAACUCUGGUGGAGGCUCGUAGCGAUUCUGACGUGCAAAUCGAUCGUGAGAUUUGGGUAUAGGGGCGAAAGACUAAUCGAACCAUCUAGUAG
rnacentral:rRNA from 1 species